UUUCCGUAGGUGAACCUGCGGAAGGAUCAUUAACGAGUAAAGUCCUUCAGGACUUUCUUAUCCAAACACCGGUGCCAAUUAAUUUUUGCUUUUGGAAUUUAAUUAUUCCCACCAAUCAAAACCACUAAGUUGUCUUUUGUCUCCAUGAUUAUUUAAAAAUCAAAACUUUCAACAACGGAUCUCUUGGUUCUC
rnacentral:misc_RNA from 1 species